GGAGGAAAAGAAACUAACCAGGAUUCCCAUAGUAACGGCGAGUGAAGUGGGAAGAGCUCAGAAUGAAAAUCUCGCAAGAGAAUUGUAGUCUACAGAAGCAUGACCAGCUGCAAGGGUCGACUGGAGUCUCUUGGAACAGAGCAUCAUAGAGGGUGAGAAUCCCAUAAAUGGUUGACAAUAUAAUGCAGCGUACGGUGGGCUUUCAAAGAGUCGAGUUGUUUGGGAUUGCAGCUCAAAGUGGGAGGUAAAUUCCUUCUAGAGCUAAAUAUAGGCGAGAGACCGAUAGCGCACAAGUA
rnacentral:rRNA from 1 species